CUUGCGAGAGGCGCGUGCACGCUCAGAGUUCAGAUCGAGGGCCUCCACUUGCCCCCGUGCCCGCAGUCCAGUUCAGAUCCACCGCCUCCAUCCCCAUCGAGCACAAUCCACCUCGCCGUUGACUGUUGCCUCCCUCCCCAUGGAGCGCCGUCCACCCCGCCGUUGACGGCCGCCUCCCUCCCCAUGAAGCGCCGUCCACCUCGCCGUUGACGGCCGCCUCCCUCCCCAUGGAGCGCCAUCCACCCCGCCGCUGGCGGCCGCCUCCCUCCCCUUGAAGCGCCGUCCACCUCGCCGUCGACGGCCGCCUCCCUCCCCAUGAAGCGUCGUCCACCCCGCUGUUGAGGGCCGCCUCCACCCCUCCAGACCGGCCACCUCUUCGCUGCGAGCCUAGGACGUCCAGAUCUGCCUACCUCGGCUCUGACUUCCAGAUCCUCCCCCAGAUCCGCCUGCGUGCAAAGGUGACUCCAUCCCCGUCCAGGGCCCCCCUGCUCCUCCUCUUCCUAAUCUGGCUGCCGUGUCAAAUAAUUUUACUUCUGCUGCAGAGCUAGAUCUACUCUUUUGUUAUUCCUUGCUUGUUGUUACUCUGUACAUUGUUGUUUGAGAUCGACCUCAGAUAUUGUUUGAUUAAUAUAGUAUGUUAAUCUUCGCAUAUAUUUCUUCAUGGCUUUGUUCUGCGUUUUAGUUUGUGACAAAGAUUGCCAUGCAUUCUUUGGUGUCAAAUGACCUUGUGUACUGAAGCUGGUGCAAUAGAAUUACCUUGUACAAUCAUCCAUAUGUUUUAUGGUAAAAGUAAAAGAUUAUUUAUUUCAUUUUUAAUUCUGAACAUGCCUCGUUGUGCAUCUUUAUGUCAGUGUGAAAGGACUUCUAUAGGGAGAGAGAAAUUGCUAUUUAGGAUUGCAAUUUAGUUGUCAAAUCUGUCUACUAUUGCCUUUUUGGUUCACAAUUAGUUUCCAAAUUAAGUACUUAAAUGAUGCUGAUUUUGCUGUUUGAGUAAUCGUGCACUUGUGAUAAAUUCGCUAUGUUUCAGGGGUGGUUCAUGAUCAUCCAUUCAGACCAAAAGCAUGUUGGUAAGUUGCAUUCAGUUUAUGGUGGGAAAGAUGUAUUGCCAUAGGGAAGCUACAAAAUUGAACACUUACAGGUGCAUGGGUAGUUUAUUUGAGUUAUAGGUGAUGGUGCUAUAAGGAAAGCAGUGCUUGUUGCAAAAGCUAGGGAGAAGGAUGUAGGACAAUCACACUCUGUUGUACCAAGAUUUAUUGAGGAAAAAUGUUCAGUUGCAAAGGCACUGCAAAAAUGAUUCUCUUCUGACCAAACAUCUACAAUUGAUAUAUGUCAAGAUGGGAUAGGUAAUACCCAAGAGCUUCUUGCUUUUCAUGAUGAGCCAAUGGAUGGUAGUGAUCUGUGCUAGCCUAAAAAGCCGGACAUGGGGACAUGCUCAGACAUGCGUAUGCCGCCGUAUUUCGUGAUUACGAAUGAAAAAAAGAAUGCAUAGGGAGCAUGUCCUCCCAAUGGCAACCACACCAGACUAGGGGUGAAUGAUCCUCCCAAGGCCAAGAGAAUGCUUGUACUCCAUUGACAAAUUCUUCUCAUCCUGAAGAUCUUGCUCAUGCUACACACCUGGAUGAGCGUGGUUCUACUCCAAAGAGGAUAAUCAUUCAGGAAUGCCACUAGCAUAAUUAGUGUUUAAUAUCGUGAACCAGGGUGCAGGUAGCCUUUUAUUUUUUCACUUGCUUCUCUUGGCAAUUCAUGUAAAUUCGUGGCAAAUCAUGUGAGUUGAGGUUCUAUGAAUCAUGAGUUGGAUAUAAAUAUGUGGAUCUUGUGAACAUUGAGCUUUCAAUAUAAUUGGUUCAUUGUGAAUUA